ensembl:misc_RNA 7SK 7SK RNA
UCAUCAGAUGUAUCUGCCAGUGAUAUUUCUCACCCUACUAAUUUGCAAGGAUUGAAGGAAUCCAGCAGGCUUGGUAGGUAUCUCGUUCCUCUCUCUCAACUAUUGCCUUUGCUCCUCUUCAAGGUGUGUCCUCUGUAGAAGAAGAAAACUGAAGGAGGAUAUCCUCUGGUCCAAGGCCUGCAAGUAUUUGUUACUCCUUUACCAGAACAUUUACUCCAUGUCCUUUGACAGGGGAAAGUAGGCAGUCAAAAAUACAACAAAAUUCUAGAGAUGGCACUAGAAUUCCUUUGAAAAAUAAAACUGUCUUUGUUG